UGUAUCAGUAGAGUGCGGGCUUUGCCUGCCAUCUCUUACCCAUGUCUUUUGAGUACCUUCGUUUCCUCGGCGGGUUCGCCCGCCGAUUGGACAAAACUUAAACCCUUUGUAAUUGAAAUCAGCGUCUGAAAAAAACAUAAUAGUUACAACUUUCAACAACGGAUCUCUUGGUUCUGGCAUCGAUGAAGAACGCAGCGAAAUGCGAUAAGUAGUGUGAAUUGCAGAAUUCAGUGAAUCAUCGAAUCUUUGAACGCACAUUGCGCCCCUUGGUAUUCCAUGGGGCAUGCCUGUUCGAGCGUCAUUUGUACCUUCAAGCUCUGCUUGGUGUUGGGUGUUUGUCUCGCCUCUGCGCGCAGACUCGCCUCAAAACGAUUGGCAGCCGGCGUAUUGAUUUCGGAGCGCAGUACAUCUCGCGCUUUGCACUCACAACGACGACGUCCAAAAAGUACAUUUUUACACUCUUGACCUCGGAUCAGGUAGGGAUACCCGCUGAACUUAAGCAUAUCAU
rnacentral:rRNA from 1 species